rnacentral:tmRNA from 1 species
GGGGAUGUAAAGGUUUCGACGGGGGUGCGGAAGCGGGAUAAGCGAGCCGUAGUUGCCGAGUCUACGUAAAAAGCGGUACGUUAAAGAUAAACGAUAAAACUGAAAAAACAUUCGCAUUAGCAGCAUAGUCUGCCCGCGACGUCGGCCCUGAUUUACCGAUAGGUCAUCGACCCGGCGCCAAAAUAUCGGAAAACUCUGCGCGAGUUCCCGGUAGCGUAGGGGAAUAACGGGAUAGCUGAGUUCACGACUUGCCGUGUGACGCGUGAAUGAGGCGAAUAAAACAAGCACCGGCUGCGCUCGGAGAAAGUCCCGACAGAAGUGCUUUCGGACGUGGGUUCGACUCCCACCAUCUCCACCA